UACAGAGGUCCCGAGCGUUGUUCGGAUUCAUUGGGCGUAAAGGGUGCGUAGGUGGCGCCGUAAGUGGGGUGUGAAAUCCCGGGGCUUAACCCCGGGACUGCAUUCCAUACUGCGGUGCUUGAGGACUGGAGAGGAGACUGGAAUUUACGGUGUAGCAGUGAAAUGCGUAGAGAUCGUAAGGAAGACCAGUGGCGAAGGCGGGUCUCUGGACCGUUCCUGACACUGAGGCGCGAAGGCCAGGGGAGCAAACGGG
rnacentral:rRNA from 1 species